rnacentral:rRNA from 1 species
UACGGAGGGGGCUAGCGUUGUUCGGAAUUACUGGGCGUAAAGCGCACGUAGGCGGCUUUGUAAGUUAGAGGUGAAAGCCCAGGGCUUAACCCUGGAAUUGCCUUUAAGACUGCAUCGCUAGAAUCGUGGAGAGGUGAGUGGAAUUCCGAGUGUAGAGGUGAAAUUCGUAGAUAUCGGGAGGAACACCAGUGGCGAAGGCGGCGAGCUGGGUCGAUACUGACGCUGAGGUGCGAAAGCGUGGGGAGCAAACAGG